rnacentral:tRNA from 1 species
AUGUACUACUAGUAGAACUAGUACUUCUACUACUAGUACUAAUACUACUAGUAUGUACUGCUAGUUCAUACUAGUAGUACAUG